rnacentral:lncRNA from 1 species
CACCCACACACCCUGAAAUCUUCACAAGGGAAAUACCGAGUGCUGUAGCAGGGGCUUUCCACCAAAGGACGCAAUUCCUGCAGGGAAGCGGGGGGAGGGCAGUGCCCAGGGAGUGGGGUCCAUGGGGCUCGCGCCCCUCCCUUACCAGCUUCAUGGUGUUGUUAUUCUGCUCCCAGCGCCACAGCAUCACGCUCAUCUUACUUCUGCCGGAGCAGAAAAGGGGGAGCGGAAGAAGGGCAGGAAAGGAGGAGGCGGCGGCGAGGCACCUGCCCGCAAGCCGCCUGGUCCCGCCUCGCUCCGGAUCCCGCGCUCCGCCCCGCAGGCAUCCCCGGCGGUAACAGCUCUGCACCGUGCUGCUCCCGCUGCUCCCGAGGCUCCGCGGGGCGCAGGGGACCCAGCCGGGGGCACAGGGGCCGGGCGCUCAGGUCCCGCGCUCUCGCCCACCCUGCUGCCUCCGCCAGCCGCUGGCUGGCGCGGGUGGAGGAAGCGGGAGAGAGGGUCGGAGCUAGGAGGUCUUCCCGAACCGCGCCGGGCACCGUGGGAACCGCACACCCACGCUGCGCUCGCCUGCAGCGUUUAUUUCCUGCUACGUAAGGACCCGGGCUGGGUCGUUUUCAAACGCACCUGGCUGCUGCCAGAGAAAGGACAUCCGCGCCCCGGAGGGCGGGAGGAGCGGACAGGCCAGGCGGAGACAUGGGAGGCGGCCUUUGUUUCCUCUCUGGCCUCCACCUGCUGCAGACUGCCCUGUGUCCUCCUCCCGGACUCUGGCCGACUAGCCCAGCGCAGGACCUGCGCCCAACACCCUGUGAUCUGACAGCGGUCCUCCAGGGAACCCCAACAACUUCCCUAGCCUGAAAAGGCUCUGCAGCCCUCCCGCUCCACACAGUAAGGUGGCUCCAGCACUCACGCCUUGGGCAGCAGAGACAUUUGGGAUCUGCAACUCUCCUGGUUGCAGAGUUCUGAUGGGAACUUAUGGAAUUAACUUAUUACACAUUCUUUUCAGUAGUUAGAAUUGUUCAAAAUGAAGGAGGUGAUGAAGUGGAUCCUAUUCUUUUAAAAAGUGGUCUUUAAAACAUGCCAGUUCCGGCUGGGGAUGUAGUUCAGCAGACCUGCCCAGCAAGCCCAAGGCCCUGGGUUCGAUUCCAGCGCGUAGACCAGUGUGCAGUCCACAGUGGGAGCUCAGUGCAUGUCACCCAUAUGAGCUGUUGACGACUAUGCUACGACAGUCCGUGCAGCCUUCUCUGCAGCGAGGGCUGAGCCAGGCCCAGCACACAGCUGCCCUCCUGCCCGAGGCCCGAGCUCAGCCUGCCUGACCACAAGGGACACCUCUCUGACAGUGGCCCUCUACACACGUGCCCAGAGAACGAACAUGGGCAGCAAUAUUUGCAGCUUCAAGGGAAGGGGCACAUCCUGGGGGAAUGUACUAGAAACAGGACAGCAUGUUUCAUCUGAGAAAGUGUAUUUUCAUGUUAAGAUAUAGAUUUGGAAGCUAGUCCUAAAAUAGCUUUUUUUCCCCAAAAUAAAGCUUAAUAAAAUCUUAUUGGCCAAACAAAGCACAUG